rnacentral:rRNA from 1 species
AACGAACGCUGGCGGCAUGCCUAACACAUGCAAGUCGAACGAGACCUUCGGGUCUAGUGGCGCACGGGUGCGUAACGCGUGGGAACCUGCCUUUAGGUUCGGAAUAACUCAGAGAAAUUUGAGCUAAUACCGGAUAAUGUCUUCGGACCAAAAGAUUUAUCGCCUUUAGAUGGGCCCGCGUUGGAUUAGCUAGUUGGUGGGUAAAGGCCUACCAAGGCGACGAUCCAUAGCUGGUCUGAGAGGAUGAUCAGCCACACUGGGACUGAGACACGGCCCAGACUCCUACGGGAGGCAGCAGUGGGGAAUAUUGGACAAUGGGCGAAAGCCUGAUCCAGCAAUGCCGCGUGAGUGAUGAAGGCCUUAGGGUUGUAAAGCUCUUUUACCCGAGAUGAUAAUGACAGUAUCGGGAGAAUAGGCUCCGGCUAACUCCGUGCCAGCAGCCACGGUAAUGUGACUACUG